GAUGAACGCUAGCUGCAGGCUUAACACAUGCAAGUCGAGGGACCGGCGCGCGGGUGAGUAACACGUAUCCAACCUGCCCUUUACUCGGGGAUAGCCUUUCGAGAGAACGAUUAAUACCAGAUGUAAUGGAUGGGGAUGCGUUCCAUUAGGUUGUUGGUGAGGUAACGGCUCACGAAGCCUUCGAUGGCUAGGGGUUUGGAGAGGAAGGUACCCUACAUUGGAACUGAGACACGGUCCAAACUCCUACGGGAGGCAGCAGUGAGGAAUAUUGUUCAAUGGGGGUUAGCCUGAACCAGCCAAGUAGCGUGAAGGAGGAAGGCUUAUGGGUCGUAAACUUCUUUUAUAGAAGAAUAUGUAUUAUAUGAAUAAGGAUCGGCUAACUCCGUGCCAGCCGCCGCGGUAAUUC
rnacentral:rRNA from 1 species